rnacentral:tRNA from 1 species
GCCCUCGUAGUGCAAUGGAUAGCACGCAAGAUUCCGGUUCUUGAAAUUCGGGUUCGGGUCCUGACGAUGGCG